AGCCCAACGACGCCACCCAGAGGUAUCUUUGUGUUUAUAACCCUUUUAAUGUUUGGGAAAGCCUGAACAAGUCAAGACAUGCCCGGACAAGUAUCAGGAGGCAGUCUAUAUGUAUGAGUGGAGUGACUGACUUGUUCAUUGUGCAAGAAAAGGGACUACUGCAUGUUUGUUUCUUCUGUGAGUGAUUGAUUAAAAAACCACACACGCACACACAAACUUGCAAGGAUAAUUCAAAUAAAACCUUCAACUGGGACCUGCUCUCUUGCUCCCGUUUCUCUAACCGGAAACUCCCACUACCAUUUCUACGUGUACCUAAACGAACCCUUGAGCGUCCCACGCGCUCGUGCACCCUGUGUGAAUAAGCGCUUCAGGCCCGGACACAUUCAGAGGCGUCUCCUAUCAGACCGUAUUACACUGCAGUCCAUCCGAUUCAACUGUUGCAUUAAUUGCACUGGAAGAUGACAGUGUAACUAAUGAGGAGUGAGUGCAUGUGUGUGUGUGUUUCUCUAGAUAACACGGCCCGUGCUCUCUAUGAAAGCAUGCAGGCUGAUUUCAGACUGGUUGGCUUGUUUGCGUGCAGGACGGAGAUGCUUUUGGCUCGAC
ensembl:lncRNA